rnacentral:rRNA from 1 species
AUAGGUCAAGCUACAAAGGGCGCAUGGUGAAUGCCUUGGCAUCAGGAGCCGAUGAAGGACGCGAUAAGCUGCGAUAAGCUUCGGGUAGACGCACAUAGUCAGAGAUCCGAAGAUUUCCGAAUGAGGAAACUCACAUGGGAAACCCCAUGUAUCGUAAAGUGAAUACAUAGC